rnacentral:rRNA from 1 species
UGGGGAAUAUUGCACAAUGGGCGCAAGCCUGAUGCAGCCACGCCGCGUGUAUGAAGAAGGCCUUCGGGUUGUAAAGUACUUUCAGUCGGGAGGAAGGUGUCAAGGUUAAUAACCUUGGCAAUUGACGUUACCGACAGAAGAAGCACCGGCUAACUCCGUGCCAGCAGCCGCGGUAAUACGGAGGGUGCAAGCGUUAAUCGGAAUUACUGGGCGUAAAGCGCACGCAGGCGGUUGAUUGAGUCAGAUGUGAAAUCCCCGGGCUUAACCCGGGAAUUGCAUCUGAUACUGGUAAGCUAGAGUCUUGUAGAGGGGGGUAGAAUUCCAUGUGUAGCGGUGAAAUGCGUAGAGAUGUGGAGGAAUACCGGUGGCGAAGGCGGCCCCCUGGACAAAGACUGACGCUCAGGUGCGAAAGCGUGGGGAGCAAACAGG